CAAAAAAAUCCGUUGAGACGCACAACCCGAUCACGCUCGUUUCCACCGCCUCCGGCGUCCUCGGCGUCGAUCCCAACCGACCUCGAUGGCGACAUCCGUCUCUCCUCUUCCAUUUGAAUCUGAGUCCGUCUCCUCGACCCUCCUCGGACGAUCGCGGCCAACUACCUUGUCCCCGCCGUCUCCGGCACCAAGAACCGCCUCCCUCACCUCCUACCGCGUCCAGAGUGGAGUCAACUGUGGGGAUUCGGGAUCUGUUAUCCCCGGAUCGGUAUUCAUAGCAUUUCACUACGAUCACUGCUGGCACAUGGCGGUACACUGAUCCCUCCCGACAUGGUCACUCGUGAGGGAUCUCCCCGUAGGAACUUUGUAUCCAUCCCCACCCCACCCCACCCUCCUUUGCAUUUGGAACAGAUCGAAUCGCGUUAUACAUCUGGCAGAUCCGGCUGUGGCGGCCAUGACAGCUAGGGCUUGGCAGGGGUUUGUGAUCGUCCACUUCAUCUUCUCGACUCUUUUCACUGCACUCUACGAGGAUAAGUCCUGGUGACGGAUUGGUUUGUAGAUCCUCUUUUAUAUAACUUCUUUUCCCGUCGUCAUGUGUGUUUCCUUCUAUUAUGCAACUUCGAAUAUGUUGUCCAGGUUUCUUCUACUUCUUUUGAAUUCUUCCUCAUUAAAGCAAUCAAACAUGUACUUUGAAUCUCGUCCCUUUUGUUAUGCAAUCAUACCAGUAGUUUCAUAAAUCUCUUGCUUCUCGAUGUGUUAUUAGUUUGACCUUAAUAUCUAUAUGCUAAAUUUUGCAAAUGAAAUAAAUGAGGUUUAUCAAGUAUUUUCUGGAGCUAGAUUUUUCUGAUAUCGGGAUGAUUACUAACAAUAUUUUAGAACAUUAGGGAAUUACCAUCAGUUAGGAUGGGUUCCUUGUAGUCGUGUAAAGUUGCAAAUUUUAGAUGAUAAAUCAAGGAAACGAAAAUUGCAUGCAAUUGAGCACAACAUCUAGAUAAUGAGAUUUUGAUCAUGCACUUUAUCAUCUAAGAGGUUGAGCUGAAUACUGUAGAAACUAUAGUUUUUAUUUUGUAUCCAUAUGUUGGUUCUUACAUGUAUGUCGUUUCUUCUUUUAAGUUUUACAUGGUUAUUGGUGGUAAUGAUUUCAGUAUUUCUGCUACAAAUAUUCUUGUUGAAAUUAGAGAGGCACUAACCUUUUCGUACUUGUACUUCUCUUUUUCAGUCUGUUAUAAUAUUAAAUUAAUUAGAUACAAUUAGGUUUCUUUCUUCACAUCAAAUUAUUUUGAAUCUUAAAGAGCAGAAACUAAUUGUAAAAGAAACCCUUAUGAGGGAGAACGAGUAGGGUAGUCAAACCUUUUUCUGCCCUUGAUCUAACUCUGUGCUUUUGGGGCUUAUAAUUCCAAUCAUAAAUCACAUUUGUUUUCUUGGCAAGAGUCAUGUUCUUCUUUCAGUCAAAGUCAUUCAGCAUCUAGAUUGCAUAUGUUCAAUCUGAUAGAGUAUAGUCAAAAUCUUUUUAAAUUAUCCAACCAUAUUUUAAUAACAUAAGAUGAUUUAGUUGAGUAUUUUAGGGGCUCAAAUGACCAUUCUUGUUAAAAUGUAUAAUUAUUUAUUGAAGUUGAAAGACAUUUAUAUGGCAUGAUGUAGUUUAUUAAAAGCAACUUUUCUUUGUGACACUCAUAACAUUGAAACUGUAUACCAAAUGGGACCACCAAUAUCUCCAUUUUGAAUGUCAGUCUGGAUUGGCUCUCUACGCUGCCCAAAACUAUCCAGUUUGGUUUGGCUUAUAUGUAAGAUGUAGGUAAUCCUUUUAAACAGUACCUCCUUGUUUUGUUGAACUUUGACCAUCAAGUCAAAAUGUGAACAGUCUAUCUUAUUUCUCCUGAUGUUAGUAAACUACACCGACUUGUUUUAGAUCAGUAAAACCAUUGGUUCUUGAGUAUGGUACUCGUCUCUAUUGGAGGGCUCACAUGGUUUGAGAUUUUCUUGGGUCAUGUGCUGAGCAAAUUAGCCAAAAGCAUUUUUCCCUGCAUUAUGUUUAUUCUCAAAAAGCUUGUGCCACGUUUUGUAGGAUCGACCUAUUCCAAUGGUGGAUCGAAUCACCCAACUGAUAUUGAAACCCUUGGGAAAUUGUGGAACCAGUUGGACUUGGCAGAGUUAAUCAAACUUGAUUAAUUUUUAGCUGAUUCUAAUUGCUUUUGACAAAUUAUCAUUAGUAUUAAUGAGCUUUGGCUACUCUUAAUCUCUAUCAUUACUGAUUCUUUGUGGCUCAAUCAAUGUUUGACGGGUUUCUUUGCUUCUGGACUAUAGCCAACUUUUGGUCAAUCAUGGACAUUUUGAAUUGAUUUCAUGAAAUCUGAUAUGACAAUAUGAUUCUGUUGGUGCAUAUUAAUCUCAAUUUCAUCUAUCACCAUUCUUGAACUGAUCUCAAUCUCAUGAACUUUGGUCAAGUAUCAUCAUUUUCGAAUGGUUGCCUUCAUCGUUUAACCUCUAGAUGUAGCUAUUGAUGCUAACUUCUGUGUAUUUCUGUCAUGAUUUGUGUAUUUGUUUCUUAAUUUAUUAGUGUACCAUUUUUGCCUUCCGAAGAUGUAUCCAAGCUCAUAUUAUCUUCUCAUUUCUUUUAUCAACUUUGAUACCUUCCAACUAGAAGUUCCAAAUGAGAGGGAAGACCUCCAUUUUCCCUAUCUACCUAUCGAUGUUUUAGACUAUCAUUUAUUAAACUAUGUGCCCCCUCCAGCCUGUGUAAAUUCUGGCUGUUUCUCUGAAUAAGAGGCAUGUGAUGAGCUUACUGGAGUGGUUCAAAAGGACACCUUUAUGAUGUUUUAAAGCGGUGAUAAUUGGAAUUUAGGUUGGUCAAAUAUAUGACCGUGGCAUAGCCAUGGAUUAUUGUAUGCACAUAUGCAUGCUAUAUCAUCAUGCCUUUGCAAAUUAAGAUGUGCCCAUGUGUCAUAGCUAAGUUGUGCAUCUACUAUGUAUUUAUGUAUGCAUAUCAGAAAGAUGUCAAACUAUUUAUUCUUUUUUUCUCGCCUGGAGAUUUCAUAUAUACAUGUAUAUAUACAUGUGUUAGGGUGGACCUUGGUACAACACUAAGCUUGCUCCUUUUCAACCUUGUGGCCAAUUUUUGAGUCUCAAAAAUAGCUUCUCUAAGGUAGAGGGAAGGCUGCAUAUAUGGAGAAAUAUAUAUACAUAUGCAUGUAUAUAAUAUAGUAUAAUAUAAUAUAAGAAUACUUAAAUUUAUAAAUUUAGGCAAAUACUCCAAGCUGCCCAUUCUCAAUACACAGGCUAAAACUGGGAGAAAACAUGUUGUAGCACUUAUGGAAGAGAAUGUCAUUCCUUCUCUUGAUCUCCGUGCGGAUGAUAGCUGUCAGUUUGGACUCGUAUAUUCUGUUAUCAUGUUAGUUAUCAAGUCUCUGCGUAUUAAUGUUCAGAGUAUGAUACUAUGAGUAAAAUAGGAAACCUUGUUUGUAUAAUUAGAAACUCCAAUUGUGUAAGUAUUGGAAUAUUUGGGGUUUCCUUUUCUCUUCUUGAGAAUUGAAAUAACUUUUAGUUGGCUUACUUCAUGCAGCUUGGAGGCAUGUUCUUGGAAAAAAUGGCCAUCUCAAUCAAGUUGACACUGCUCUUUUGAAGUGCAAUUUUCUCUAGUACUUUGUAGAUGUAGUUAACUUUUUGGGGCAUUAGCCUAUGAUUUCCACUCUUUGAGUAGGUUAUCCCUGUCAUCUUGAUCUUUUUAUUUGUAUGCUUUUAGCUAAUAUGUUCUAUAUUGGAACUAGUGUGCUUUUCACUUCGUAUGUUUUUACACAUUCUUAAUACCUUUUUUCAUAUCUAUAUCUUCUUUUCUUUUUAGAAUUCCUCUCAUGUUUAAUGCUAAACAUAUGCAAAGUUUUUAGAACUAGGAUCUUUAUAUAGUUACAAUUAAGGAGUCAAGAAUUCAUUGCAUGUGGCAUGCAUAGUUGUUGGAAUGUCACAUGCUGCAUGUUGUUCCAUGCUGAAUCUCAGUAGAGGCUGUUUUGCUGAUGGUACUAGAUGAAAAAGGGAAGAAAACUGGAAACUAAAAAGAAUGAAUGAAGAAACAACAGAUUUUUCUUUGCUUUGGAGGAAUGCUGCAUCAUUCCCAUAAAUCUCUUGUGGCCAUCAUACAUGGCAGAUGAUUGUGAGCUUAACACUGAGGUGAGUAGUGACUGUGAAAAGAGUUAGGCCAUAAAAAGGGAAACCCAAAAGCAUACAAUCAAAAUCUGUUGUCAAUCUAGCUGUGGCUUGAUUCGGUUGAUUCUAGUCUGGUUGGUUCCGUAGCGAACAUUGAUGGAACACGUUUCAGAGAUUCUUCAACAUGAUGCAAUAUGGUGGGUUAAAUCUCAAUGAAAUGUUACAUGAUACUUUGGUGGACGUGCCUGAAGCUUUUAAUCGCUGAUUGGAACGUAGUGUUGCUCAUCUUCAAACAUUUAAAUGUGUAUAUCUCUUCCUUACCGAGAUUGCUCCACCAAGAGCUUAUGAUUCGCUUACUGGAGAUUUCAGCUGCACACGUCUCACAAUCAUUUCACUAGUUGCCGCCAUUUCUGUGACAUGGACCUCAUCCGAGCAGGAGCAUAGAGAGAAAUAGAGCUUUUACAAACUAGGUGAAGCCCUUGCCGGAGUGAUGACUGACAUCAGAGAUCGCAGCCUGCUAACAAGCGCUUCCGACUUCUUUUCAUUUUGGUGGCUUGGUUCUUCAAGUGCCUGUGCCAGGUCCAGUUUCUCUAGAUGCCACCUGUUACCUGAAAUUGAGAUGCUAGAUAUCUGAAAGCGAUAGGAUGUACUGUGAGUGAAGGUUUCAUAUUUUUCAUCCAAUACUAUCAGCUAGGAUGUUUUCGGAGUCUUCAGCUAGUGGCAGCCUAAAAGAAGAAUUCACAGGUUCGCAAUACCGAACAAAAGGUGACACACUUGACAAAAGAUUGGGGCAAGCAUGCUAAUAAUGGUAAAUGAUUUUCAAAGUAUCGUUGGCAAUCAUCGAAAGCAAAACACUUUGAGUCGAGCUGCACAAUGCAAAGCCGGAGACGAGGGGUCAUAUCCUAUUUCUCACUUUGUUGAAGCUGUUGACUCUUUCUGGUGCCAGAGUCUGACUUGCAAUCAAUGCAGCCCAUUUGAAGGAACACCAUGGAGGCCUACCACCACUUGCCUCACCCCUUAAGAGAAGCCAUGUGAUAUGAUGGUACUCCACCUCUUGAUUCAACUCCACUUUGCGGUCUGCACUUGAGCCCACCACUCAAGUAACAGAGGCCAUGCACCAUUUGAAGAUGGUACAAUCACUGUUGGGUGCAACGGGGAUUACUGUAGCCUCCAUGUUGGAAUAGUGAAGGUGGGUCUCACUGAUUUGAGCUUAUUUUUAUCUCCAACGAAUCGAGAAGGUUAUCUUCCUUCUGUCUGCAGAUGGCAGUGCAUUGAGGAUAAAUUUUUAAAGGGACUUCGUAACCUGCUGUCUACACUUAUCACAGGGAUGCUCAACUAUGGGAAUACAAAUUCAUAAGUUGAAAGGCCAGAAUACUCAAGGUAAAAUUUGUUGGAGGUUUGGAGCAUAGUAUGAUUUAGAAACUAAGAUUACAUUUGGCUGGGCCUUGCAUCGAAUUCAGUACAGUGCAGAUGUUUAAUACAAGAUAGAAAAUUCGGUAACAUGACAUGAUUCUAUCUUCUACCAGAUCCCAGUUUGGGGAUAUUGGUGGUAGAAGGGGUCGCAUUGUUGCAGCAUUGCUUCCAUGCUUAUCAGCACACAAAAAGUUAUUGAUGCUACUGUUGGUGACACUACUUAAAAGAGGAGUCUCUUGGUCCACCUUAUCUCGUCAACCAUAGGAGGCCAAGAAAAUAUCCAAUCUUGGGUCCCAAAAGGGAACCCAUUGCUACUGUGGAAUGGUUUCCAAUUAGAUCAGGAACUGUAAGAAAGAGGAGGCUGAGGGAGACUUCUAAUCACUCUGUUACACAACCCACCAACAAAGGAGGUCCCCUUCCACCUACAAUUCGACAACUACGUUGGUGCUCAUUCUGUAUCAUGUAGCCCAAAUCUUUCUCUGGAUUCCACUGUGCCACCACCGGCAACUCGGUCCACGAGCACAUCGUUCAAGUGACUGCCAUCAUGUUAUCAAUCUCAAUUAUUGGAUCUGAAGUUGGCGCCGACGCAAUAGAUGCAUGUAACGGAAUCUUGAAUUCCAUGGGGCUACCAGCUUUCCGAGGCAUGUUCUUGUGAUGCCUUCUUUCCUUUGGCAAAGUAGCAUGCUUGAUACUUUGGUCUUAGACCAAUCAAAUGAACAUGAAGAUUAGAUGUGGGAAGUGAAAGCCACUCCUAGUUUCAGAUCCUCCUUAUCUCAAGAUGGUUCCAGAGUGAUGCUUAUUUAUCAAAUAAUGUUGAUCUAUAUGGAAGAAAGAAACCCCUCAACUAAUGAUUCUCUUGAGAGGCACUUGAAAUUGCUGUUAUUUGUCCAGCCAUUAAGGUAAUAAUUAUAACC